GUCCCGGUAGCUCAGCAGGAUAGAGCGACGGUUUCCUAAACCGUAGGUCAGGGGUUCGACUCCCUUCCGGGACGCCA
rnacentral:tRNA from 1 species